GCAGAAGGAUCAUUAGUGAAGAUUUGGGCAGGCCAUACGGACGCCAAAAAGUGUCCCUGGCCGCCCACACCCACUAUACAUCCACAAACCCGUGUGCACUGUCUUGGAGAAAGGCUUCAGAGAAGUUUUUUGUGGCCUCUCUUGGGGUCUUUCUUCGCUACAAACUCGAAUGGUUAGUAUGAACGUGGAACUUGGUUGGACCGUCACUGGCCAACAAACUAUACACAACUUUCGACAACGGAUCUCUUGGUUCUCCCA
rnacentral:misc_RNA from 1 species